AGAUGCUGUUCAUUCCUUUUUCUGGCCUGAUUGCACUAGCUAGAACUUCUAGCAAAGUGUUGAACAGAAGAGUUCCAAUGCAUAGGCCAAAUUACCACAGGGCUCUUUUACCGGAGGAAGACCUUGCUCUGCCUAAGGCGAAAGGAAUGGGAUUCAGCUGAACCAGGAGGCAGCUCAGUCCGUUUUUAAGACAUUCUGUUUUGAAGAGAACAUUUAAUGUCACUCUACCAAAUUCUGUCCUUCUUAAGACAGAAAACACUUCAACUAUACAACAAAAAGCCAAACCAAAACACCGACGAAGCAAAGUAGAAUCUUCUAAAUGAUAUAUUCCAAAGGUAUUAUCUAUUAAUAUAAAGGUCAGCUGACAGUGCUCUCAUAAGAAGUAAUUCCGUUUUGAUGAUGUCUUCUAUCAGCUACUCAAAGGACCAGAAUUGCUCUUCUAACCUAGAGAGAUAGAAAAAUCUAUUCUUGCCAAACAUUUCUGUAUUUUUUCCUCAAAAAUUUUCCUAUUGCAAAAGCAGUAUAUAUAUUCAUUGCAUUCUUUCUAAACAUAUGUUACUAGUGUUUCCAUAUAAAAUAUAACUCUGAAUAAAGAUAUUUGAUGAAAGCCUUUCUUUUUCACUUUAGAAUCUCAUUCUCUAACUAGAGAAUGCAAUUACUUUCCAAAAACUAGGCAUACUGAAAUGAAGUAAAUGACUUUAUUAUGUGUAUGUAUCAUCCACUUGACUUAUUUUCUUACUCUUCAGUUCUCUGAAAUUAUAAAUGUGGAGAAUAAAAAUUGUAAAAGGAA
rnacentral:lncRNA from 1 species